UACGUAGGGUGCAAGCGUUGUCCGGAAUUAUUGGGCGUAAAGAGCUCGUAGGCGGUCUGUCGCGUCUGCUGUGAAAACUCGGGGCUUAACCCCGGGCCUGCAGUGGGUACGGGCAGACUAGAGUGCGGUAGGGGAGACUGGAAUUCCUGGUGUAGCGGUGAAAUGCGCAGAUAUCAGGAGGAACACCGGUGGCGAAGGCGGACUCUGGGCCAUUACUGACGCUGAGGAGCGAAAGCGUGGGGAGCAACAGG
rnacentral:rRNA from 1 species